ACCACGGAGCCUGCGCAAGCUGCGGGGCCGUAAAGGAACCGGCCCCCAGUCUCCGGGGGCUUCAGUCCCGCCCCUCUCUCUCCCCAGUGCCCUGCAGCGCUCCCAGGGUCCGUGUCUGCCCUCCCCAAGCCCCCACUAUCAAUACAAUCGCUAUAAAAAAAAAAAAAAUCUCCCAGGCACGUGCCGUCGGCCUCUCCCCUGCCCGCCUGGCCCAGGAGGCGCCCACACCUGCGCCCUCACUUGCCGAGACUUUACCUGUGCAGUCCCCCGCGGCGCCUGCAGCCGCGCAGGUGCCAUUUAAAAAUUUUGUAUGAAUUAUGUCCUCGCCCACAGCGACUCUCUGAGAGACGGGGUUUUUCCAUGUUGCCCCAGCUGGUCUUGAACUCCUGAGCUCAAGGGAUCCACCUGCCUUAGCCUCCCAAAGUGUUGGGAUUACAGGCCACCAUGCCGGCCAGCUACAUAAUGUUUCAUAGGAUGUAUGUACUACACCUAUUCAACCAUUCUCCUAUUAAUGCACACAUAGA